UUUUUUUACCUCUUUUUGCUUUGUUGUUGUUGUUUCUGGUCCGAUUUGCUCUUGUUCUUCCUUUAUGUGCGCGUUCCGUUUUCUUUCUCGCGAAUCCGGUCUAUUUAGCUCCGAUCUGGUUCUUUGAAGCUUGGAACUGGUUUGGUUUGGGUUGGAUUUGUGUGUUGGAAUCGAUGAUGAUGAUUAGUGUUGUUGGAAAUUUUGUGUUCAUAGUGUUCUUCAUGUUCAUGAGGUGUUCAUAUCAUUUUUGUUGAUCUUUUGUGGUCUGAUCCGAAUUUGGAUGAGAGAGAAAAGUGAAAGGUGUUUGUGAAUAUUUUAUUGGUGGUUGAAAUUUCUGACUGACUCUGACGCGUGUGAACAGUGAAUUUUUGGACCCUCUUCCCAAUGAUUAGACAGUGUAUUUAUAGUGACAAAAUAGGGUUGGCUCUGGUACAUAUCAAAGACCAAAAUACCCCUGUUGGAGACUUGGGGACAAAGACUUAA
rnacentral:lncRNA from 1 species